ACGCUCGACACCUACGGGGGCAGCAGUGGGGAAUAUUGCACAAUGGGGGAAACCCUGAUGCAGCGACGCCGCGUGAGUGAAGAAGUAUUUCGGUAUGUAAAGCUCUAUCAGCAGGGAAGAGAAUGACGGUACCUGACUAAGAAGCCCCGGCUAACUACGUGCCAGCAGCCGCGGUAAUCUGAGCGGGCUGGCAAGGC
rnacentral:rRNA from 1 species